GGGGGGUGGGGGGGAGACAAUUGUUAGAUUGGACAACUAUGCUUUACAUUAUCUUUACUGUAAGGAAGUUGUUGUGGACUCCUUUGUAGGGACAACAUAUAAGAGAAAGUCCAAAGCUGGAUCAGCAGGAGAGGGGAAUCAGGCAAUGAUAGAAGCAGUUGCAGCUUUUAUUAGGAUUGCUUUUAUUUUCUGAUAUAGUUUUAUGUAUUCCUAAUUAGCAAAGACUCCUAUCAGCAUUAUAAUUUCUUUAAGCUGUAACAAGCUCUCUAUGUGUCAUUGAGCAUUUAUAUUAAUAAAACAAGCAGAGUAUUUAUCAUC
rnacentral:misc_RNA from 1 species